UACGGAGGAUGCAAGCGUUAUCCGGAUUUAUUGGGUUUAAAGGGUGCGUAGGCGGUUGGAUAAGUCAGCGGUGAAAGUUUUCUGCUUAACAGGAAAAAUGCCGUUGAUACUGUCUGGCUAGAAUAUGGUUGCUGUGAGUGGAAUGUGUGGUGUAGCGGUGAAAUGCUUAGAUAUCACACAGAAUAUCGAUUGCGAAGGCAGCUCACAAAGCCAUUAUUGACGCUGAGGCACGAAAGUGUGGGGAUCAAACAGG
rnacentral:rRNA from 1 species